CUCAGAUGUGUGAGGAAAGACAAACUGGACGCCAUGGUGCCGAAUCCACCUCCACACUCUUUAUUACACGAGACGUCCAGGUGCUCCAAACCCACCAGGAACUUCAUCUUCUCUCCUGUUGUGAUGAACAGAGCUGUGACCAUCAGACUGAAGAGAGAAUUUUAAAAGCGCGCUGAGGAGCAGAUGAUCAGAUGAUCAGAGUGCUGGAGCUUCUGCUGCUUCCGGAAGUGAGAGAGAGAGAGAGAGAGAGAGAGAGAGAGAGCGAGAGAGAGAGAGAGAGAGAGAGCGAGGGGAAAACUCACGGGGUCACGUGAUCACAACACCACACGCGCGUCACGCGCUCAGGUGAACAUCUUUACAACAAUACACUUUUCCUCGGGGAUUUUCUACAAACUGUAUACAUCGGAUAUUACACUAAAACUCAUUCUGUAACACAUUUAUGCAUUAAUGAUAAUGAUUAAUAAUUAGUGCUUAUUAAGAAACACUUUGAUGACUAAAAAAGUUUCUAUAUAAAUCCCUGUGUAUGAUUAAAUACCUUUUUUCUGCAAAAUGCACGUGAGGUUGUGGAGUCUUUUACACUUCACUGCUGUGUUUUUUUUUUAAACUGCGUUCAUUAAUUUUUUUUAUAAAUAUUUAUUUCUAAACACGUCUUUGCGGGUGCCAUUACUUUUGCACAAUAUUAUGUAUAAAAAAAUAAACCAGUAAAUAAACAGAGAGCUAAACGGUGAAGAAUAAAUACAGUAAAUUCUCAUUUAUUAAAUAAACAAAGGACACAAUUAAAACAAAAAUGCUCUGUAUUUUUUUUAUUUAAUUAUAUUUUAUUGUGUAUAAUGUUUUAUAUUUUUUAUAGGUUAAUAAAUAAUCUAAAAUAUACACUACUGUAUAACAAAGCGGUGUAGAAAACAUACAGAAGGUUAGAGGUGUAGAUUAUUAAUGCUCUGGA